UCAUAUGCUUGUCUCAAAGACUAAGCCAUGCAAGUCUAAGUACAUGCUUUAACAAAGUGAAACCGCGAAUGGCUCAUUAAAUCAGUUAUGGUUCCUUAGAUCGUACUAUCCUACUUGGAUAACUGUGGUAAUUCUAGAGCUAAUACAUGCAGCAGAACUCAGACCUUCGGGGACGAGUGCUUUUAUUAGACCAAGACCAAUCGGGCUUCGGCUCGACACCCAUGGCGACUCUGGAUAACUUUGGGCUGAUCGCACGAUCUUGUAUCGGCGACGUUUCUUUUUAAGUGUCUGCCUUAUCAACUGUCGAUGGUAGGUUAUGCGCCUACCAUGGUCGUAACGGGUGACGGGGAAUCAGGGUUCGAUUCCGGAGAGGGAGCCUGAGAAACGGCUACCACAUCCAAGGAAGGCAGCAGGCGCGCAAAUUACCCACUCCCGGCAAGGGGAGGUAGUGACGAAAAAUAACGAUGCGGGACUCUUUUGAGGCCCCGCAAUCGGAAUGAGUACACUCUAAAUCCUUUAACGAGGAUCCAUUGGAGGGCAAGUCUGGUG
rnacentral:rRNA from 1 species